rnacentral:rRNA from 1 species
GAUCAUGGCUCAGGACGAACGCUGGCGGCGUGCUUAACACAUGCAAGUCGAACGAAGAGCGAUGGAAGCUUGCUUCUAUCAAUCUUAGUGGCGAACGGGUGAGUAACGCGUAAUCAACCUGCCCUUCAGAGGGGGGACAACAGUUGGAAACGACUGCUAAUACCGCAUACGAUCCAAUCUCGGCAUCGAGGAUGGAUGAAAGGUGGCCUCUAUUUAUAAGCUAUCACUGAAGGG